UGAGGAAUAUUGCGCAAUGGGGGAAACCCUGACGCAGCGACGCCGCGUGGGUGAUGAAGGCCUUCGGGUUUUAAAGCCCUGUUGGAGGGGAAGAAAGGGCGUGUAGCUAAUAUCUGCACGCAUUGACGGUACCCUCUGAGGAAGCACCGGCUAACUCCGUGCCAGCAGCCGCGGUAAUACGGAGGGUGCGAGUGUUAUUCGGAAUUACUGGGCGUAAAGAGCACGUAGGCGGAUAGACAAGUCAGAUGUGAAAGCCCGGAGCUUAACUCCGGAACUGCAUUGGAUACUGCCUGUCUUGAGUGUGGUAGAGGGGGGUGGAAUUCCCGGUGUAGAGGUGAAAUUCGUAGAUAUCGGGAGGAACACCAGAGGCGAAGGCGACCCCCUGGGCCAUAACUGACGCUGAGGUGCGAAAGCGUGGGGAGCAAACA
rnacentral:rRNA from 1 species